CAGAGUUCAUGCCCUCACGGGUAGAUCUCCCACCCUUGAAUAUUAUACCUUAGUUGCUUUGGCAGGCCGGGGCAACCCCCGGGGCCUCGGCCUUGGUGUGCCUGCCAGAGGAAACAAACUCUGUUUUUAGUGAUGUCUGAGUACUAUAUAAUAGUUA
rnacentral:misc_RNA from 1 species